UUUCCGUAGGUGAACCUGCGGAAGGAUCAUUAAUGUUAAAUCUAUUAUCGAGGUUUUUCACUGAACCGAAAGGUUGUGCACGCUCGAAUGCGCUCUCAUUCAUCCAUCUCACCCCUACGCCCACCAUCACGUGUUACCUCUUUUUCUUUGAACGGUUGUGAGCUUACGUUUCCACACACAACUUGCAUGAACUGAACUCUUUGCUUUUUCUUUUUGCGAUCACGCAAUCAAUACAACUUUCAACAACCUAACCCUUGGUCCUCGCAUCGAUGAACAACG
rnacentral:misc_RNA from 1 species